CCUACGGGGCGCACCAGUGGGGAAUAUUGCACAAUGGGCGCAAGCCUGAUGCAGCCAUGCCGCGUGUGUGAAGAAGGCCUUCGGGUUGUAAAGCACUUUCAGCGGGGAGGAAGGCGCCAAGGUUAAUAACCUUGGCGAUUGACGUUACCCGCAGAAGAAGCACCGGCUAAUUCCGUGCCAGCAGCCGCGGUAAUACGGAGGGUGCAAGCGUUAAUCGGAAUUACUGGGCGUAAAGCGCACGCAGGCGGUCUGUCAAGUCGGAUGUGAAAUCCCCGGGCUCAACCUGGGAACUGCACUCGAAACUGGCAGGCUAGAGUCUUGUAGAGGGGGGUAGAAUCCCAGGUGUAGCGGUGAAAUGCGUAGAGAUCUGGAGGAAUACCGGUGGCGAAGGCGGCCCCCUGGACAAAGACUGACGCUCAGGUGCGAGAGCGUGGGGAGCAAACAGGAUUAGAUACCCGAGUAGUC
rnacentral:rRNA from 1 species